rnacentral:rRNA from 1 species
AUUGAACGCUGGCGGCAGGCCUAACACAUGCAAGUCGAGCGGACGAAGGGAGCUUGCUCCUGGAUUCAGCGGCGGACGGGCGAGUAAUGCCUAGGAAUCUGCCUGGCCGUGGGGGAUAACGUCCGUACACGGGCGCUAAUACCGUAUCCGUCCAGAGGGAGAACGUGGGGGUUCAUCAGACCUCACGCUAUUAGCUGAGCCUAGGUCGGAUUAGCUAGUUGGUGGGGUAAAGGCCUACCAAGGCGACGAUCCGUAACUGGUCUGAGAGGAUGAUCAGUCACACUGGAACUGAGACACGGUCCAGACUCCUACGGGAGGCAGCAGUGGGGAAUAUUGGACAAUGGGCGAAAGCCUGAUCCAGCCAUGCCGCGUGUGUGAAGAAGGUCUUCGGAUUGUAAAGCACUUUAAGUUGGGAAGAAGAGCAGUAAGUUAAUACCUUGCUGUUUUGACGGUACCAACAGAAUAAGCACCGGCUAACUUCGUG